GGAGGGCUGUAGCUCAGCGACAAAGCAUCUGCUUUGCAUGCAGAAAGUCCUGAGUUCAAACCCUGGCAUCUCCA